rnacentral:rRNA from 1 species
GAUGAACGCUGGCGGCGUGCUUAACACAUGCAACUCGAACGGAAAGGCUCCUGCUUGCAGGGGUACUCGAGUGGCGAACGGGUGAGUAACACGUGGGUGAUCUGCCCUGCACUUCGGGAUAAGCCUGGGAAACUGGGUCUAAUACCGGAUAGGACGAUGGUUUGUAUUCCAUUGUGGAAAGUUUUUCGGUGUGGGAUGAGCUCGCGGCCUAUCAGCUUGUUGGUGGGGUAAUGGCCUACCAAGGCGUCGACGGGUAGCCGGCCUGAGAGGGUGUACGGCCACAUUGGGACUGAGAUACGGCCCAGACUCCUACGGGAGGCAGCAGUGGGGAAUAUUGCACAAUGGGCGCAAGCCUGAUGCAGCGACGCCGCGUGGGGGAUGACGGCCUUCGGGUUGUAAACUCCUUUCGCUAGGGACGAAGCGCAAGUGACGGUACCUGGAGAAGAAGCACCGGCUAACUACGUG